rnacentral:rRNA from 1 species
GACGUAGGGCGCGAGCGUUGUCCGGAUUUAUUGGGCGUAAAGAGCUCGUAGGCGGCUUGUCGCGUCGACUGUGAAAUCCCGCGGCUCAACCGCGGGUCUGCAGUCGAUACGGGCAGGCUAGAGUUCGGUAGGGGAGACUGGAAUUCCUGGUGUAGCAGUGAAAUGCGCAGAUAUCAGGAGGAACACCGGUGGCGAAGGCGGGUCUCUGGGCCGUAACUGACGCUGAGGAGCGAAAGCGUGGGGAGCAAACAGG